GACGAACGCUGGCGGCGUGCCUAAUACAUGCAAGUUGAGCGCUGAAGGUUGGUACUUGUACCAACUGGAUGAGCAGCGAACGGGUGAGUAACGCGUGGGGAAUCUGCCUUUGAGCGGGGGACAACAUUUGGAAACGAAUGCUAAUACCGCAUAAAAACUUUAAACACAAGUUUUAAGUUUGAAAGAUGCAAUUGCAUCACUCAAAGAUGAUCCCGCGUUGUAUUAGCUAGUUGGUGAGGUAAAGGCUCCCCAAGGCGAUGAUACAUAGCCGACCUGAGAGGGUGAUCGGCCACAUUGGGACUGAGACACGGCCCAAACUCCUACGGGAGGCAGCAGUAGGGAAUCUUCGGCAAUGGACGAAAGUCUGACCGAGCAACGCCGCGUGAGUGAAGAAGGGUUUCGGAUCGUAAAACUCUGUUGGUAGAGAAGAACGUUGGUGAGAGUGGAAAGCUCAUCAAGUGACGGUAACUACCCAGAAAGGGACGGCUAACUACGUG
rnacentral:rRNA from 1 species